rnacentral:lncRNA from 1 species
AAGGGCCCUCUAAUUCUACUGCUGAGUAUAGAGCCUCAGGAAUGCUCCCUUUCCCUGGGAAUGGUCCUGACUGACAUCAGGCACCUCCUGCCCGUCUCCCACACAGGUGGAAAAGCCACACAUCUUAAGCAACACUAGGAAUCUAAGGACUCGGUGUCUGUGCAUCCACAUGAAAGUUCCUCUCCGUUUAUGGUGCUGCUUGCCCAAGAUGACUUAGAAACCUGGCCUGGGGGACCUGGCUACCUGGCCUGUGUGUUCUCGCCAGCUUGUUCUGGUGAUUGAGAAAGAUGAACUGGUGUGUUUCCUCACUUUGAUUCUGUCUGCCCAGGACCUUUAUUCUGAGAGAAUGUGUGUUUGUGUGUUUGUGUCUUUCCCCCAUCUUUUCCCCUCUGU